rnacentral:misc_RNA from 1 species
GGAAGUCUGAAGAUGCUGGUUGGUUCACCCGGUUAGAUGCUUAAAUCAAUCUAUGUUUCCUGGUUUGACUACUAGAAUUGAUCUGCUGGUUUUCCAGGCUCAAAGAUUGAAAAUGUCUUUCUAAUGAUGGAAAUAACAACUGGAGUUUUCUAAACUGUGUGCAGCAUGCAACAUUUUGGACGCUAAUAUGUAUCUUGUUGGGUACAAGGCAUCCAUAAAAAAUAAAUGCAUAAAAAAAAAUAGAGAUCCACAUAUCCCAGCCAUAAUUUCAUCUACCCUCAGCCAUAUAAUUUAGCUCACAAAGUUAACAACUUCAUAUACACA